rnacentral:rRNA from 1 species
CUACGUGCCAGCAGCCGCGGUAAUACGGAGGGUGCGAGCGUUAAUCGGAAUAACUGGGCGUAAAGGGCACGCAGGCGGCUAUUUAAGUGAGGUGUGAAAUCCCCGGGCUUAACCUGGGAAUUGCAUUUCAGACUGGGUAGCUAGAGUACUUUAGGGAGGGGUAGAAUUCCACGUGUAGCGGUGAAAUGCGUAGAGAUGUGGAGGAAUACCGAUGGCGAAGGCAGCCUCCUGGGAUAACACUGACGUUCAUGCUCGAAAGCGUGGGUAGCAAACAGGAUUAGAUACCCUGGUAGUCCACGCCCUAAACGAUGUCAAUUAGCUGUUGGGCAACUUGAUUGCUUAGUAGCGUAGCUAACGCGUGAAAUUGACCGCCUGGGGAGUACGGUCGCAAGAUUAAAACUCAAAGGAAUUGACGGGGACCCGCACAAGCGGUGGAUGAUGUGGAUUAAUUCGAUGCAACGCGAAGAACCUUACCUGGUCUUGACAU